rnacentral:lncRNA from 1 species
CCCUUCCUGUUUCUGACACUUGGCGAGGAAUUAAACUGGAGCUAAGGGCACAAAAGUUGAAAAGGCAAAAGGCAAGCGUUCUUCUGGGUGGUCUGAGCCUCGUCCUAGGAAGGACGCUGUUUGUGAAGGUAAAAUCUCUAAUUGGGGAGAGAAGGGCCAGCUGGUGAGCUGUUGAGAUCAGGUGAAGACCUGAAUCCCAGAAGCACAGCACGGUCAGAGCCCGCUGCGCCGGCAGCAAGGCCAGAAGGUGCACGAAGAAGGUGGUAAAGCAAUGCCUGGUGAGGGGACAGCAUGUAUGUUUGUGUGGAGGGUGAUGAAUAAAGAAAAGUAACCCAUGAGCACCCUCAGAAAUUUAAAAUGAUGGUUCCAACAUGGAGCUCAACAGACCAGGUGAGGAGUAGAUGAAUGCACCUGAAAAUUAAUUAUGGCCCCAAUAAUCAAGCUGCUCAAAAGGCAUCUCAUGUGAAUUUCCUGUGUGGAGGAUUG